GAUGAACGCUGGCGGCAUGCUUUACACAUGCAAGUCGAACGGCAGCGCGGGACUUGUUCUGGCGGCUAGUGGCGAACGGGUGAGUAAUACGUCAGAAAGCUCCCAUUCGCGGGGGAAUACGCCGCGAAAGCUGGGCUUAUACCGCAUAAGGUCCGUGGACGGCAGGGGGGGUGUGCGAGAGCUUUAUCGCAUUGAGAGGCCGAUGGCAGAUUAGGUCGUUUGUGAGGUAAAGGCUCACCCAGCCUUCGAUCUGUAUCUGGUCUGAGAGGACGAGCAGCCACACUGGAACUGAGACACGGCCCAGACUCCUACGGGAGGCAGCAGUGGGGAAUUGUGGACAAUGGGCGAAAGCCUGAUCCAGCCAGGCCGCGUGCAGGAUGAAGGCCUUCGGGUUGUAAACUGCGUUUGUACGGAACGAAACGGUCUGUGCUAAUAAAGAAGGCUAAUGACGGUACCGGAAGAAUAAGCACCGGCUAACUACGUG
rnacentral:rRNA from 1 species